CAAAUAAAUCUAGCGCACUCUUAAGUCUGAAAUAAAAAAAAAAUAAAAUAAAAUUCAUGAACAGCGAUAUAGAAAACAAGUUUCAAUGAGCGAAAACAAAUUUGAACAUGCCUCUAAAAACCAUUACUUGAUGCCACGUCUCCAUGAAAACAGACAUUCAUAGUGAGAAGAAUUCCUCAAACAUCGUCUUUAUCAUGCUCUAAUAAUUAUAAAACCAUUUGGCAAAAACAAAUAUUAUAAUCUCAGUAUACUUUGAUAAAC